GUUUCCAUCCCUCAUAGGAAGACUAAAAAC
rfam:Acetomicrobium mobile DSM 13181 chromosome, complete genome.